GUUUAAAUACCGGCCCCCGUGAGAUCAUCGAAGUUAAGUAACGGCGAGCCUGUUCCGUACCUAGAUGGGUGACAGCUUGGAAAUACUAGGUGCUGUAAG